AUUGAACGCUGGCGGCAGGCUUAACACAUGCAAGUCGAACGGUAACAUAAAGAAGCUUGCUUCUUUGAUGACGAGUGGCGGACGGGUGAGUAAUGCUUGGGAAUCUAGCUUAUGGAGGGGGAUAACUAUGGGAAACUGUAGCUAAUACCGCGUAGAAUCGGGAGAUGAAAGUGUGGGACCUUCGGGCCACAUGCCAUAGGAUGAGCCCAAGUGGGAUUAGGUAGUUGGUGAGGUAAAGGCUCACCAAGCCGACGAUCUCUAGCUGGUCUGAGAGGAUGACCAGCCACACUGGGACUGAGACACGGCCCAGACUCCUACGGGAGGCAGCAGUGGGGAAUAUUGCGCAAUGGGGGCAACCCUGACGCAGCCAUGCCGCGUGAAUGAAGAAGGCCUUCGGGUUGUAAAGUUCUUUCGGUAGCGAGGAAGGCAUUUAGUUUAAUAGACUAGGUGGUGACGUAACUACAGAAGAGCCCG
rnacentral:rRNA from 1 species